UGGGGAAUCUUGGACAAUGGGGGAAACCCUGAUCCAGCCAUGCCGCGUGAGUGAUGAAGGCCCUAGGGUUGUAAAACUCUUUCGCACACGACGAUAAUGACGGUAGUGCGAGAAGAAGCUCCGGCUAACUUCGUGCCAGCAGCCGCGGUAAUACGAAGGGGGCUAGCGUUGUUCGGAAUUACUGGGCGUAAAGCGCGCGCAGGCGGUCCUUCCAGUCAGAGGUGAAAGCCCAGAGCUCAACUCUGGAACUGCCUUUGAAACUAGAGGACUUGGGUACGGGAGAGGUGAGUGGAAUUCCGAGUGUAGAGGUGAAAUUCGUAGAUAUUCGGAAGAACACCAGUGGCGAAGGCGGCUCACUGGCCCGUUACCGACGCUCAGGCGCGACAGCGUGGGGAGCGAACAG
rnacentral:rRNA from 1 species